UUUGAAGUCAGGAACCCAGAUGGAACAGCUCAGCUACAACAGCACAGCAACUUCUGGAUUACACUGCAACCACAUGCUGCAUACAAGGGUUCAAUCUGUCUUCGUCACACCUUUCACCAUUUGGCUGCAACAAGGUAACCACCAUGUUAAAGAAGCGUUUGUUAUACCUGUUUAAGAAAAGAAAAUUAUUUUCGAGAAACACAACUGUGUACACAUGCAUACUCAUUAUAACAAAAGAAUACAAAGAGUAACAGAAAACUACACAGCCCAACAGAAUAACU